rnacentral:rRNA from 1 species
AUGGUGCUCCCGACAUGGCUGGAUCCAUACCAAGCCCGUGGGGUUCCAGCUCGACCUCCUCGCAUCGACCACGGCAGCGGGAUCCGCGGAUGCAUGGACACGGCGGUGCAAGCGCGCAGACGCAACCUUGAGAAGAGAGGAGGUAGGGCGGCCAUGGCGUUCCCGCCGCAGCAGGGUCACUGGCUCCACCACGAGCUCCUCGCAGUUGCCAGUGACGACGGCAGCUCCGAACCCUAG